rnacentral:rRNA from 1 species
GUAGGUGGCAAGCGUUGUCCGGAAUUAUUGGGGCGUAAAGCGCGCGCAGGCGGUUCUUUAAGUCUGAUGUGAAAGCCCACGGGCUCAACCGUGGAGGGUCAUUGGAAACUGGAGAACUUGAGUACAGAAGAGGAAAGCGGAAUUCCACGUGUAGCGGUGUAAUGCGUAGAGAUGUGGAGGAACACCAGUGGCGAAGGCGGCUUUCUGGUCUGUAACUGACGCUGAGGCGCGAAAGCGUGGGGAGCAAACAGGAUUAGAUACCCUGGUAGUCCACGCCGUAAACGAUGAGUGCUAAGUGUUAGGGGGUUUCCGCCCCUUAGUGCUGCAGCUAACGCAUUAAGCACUCCGCCUGGGGAGUACGGCCGCAAAGGCUG